ACUCGUUUACUAUUGGCCAACUUUAAUCCUAAUAUGUAUUCCUUAUAGACUUAUUAAUAAACAUAUUAGCAUAUUUCUCAUGUACAUUUAAGUCUAGUGCUAAGCUAAAAGGAUUUUUGGAGUUAUUGGUUCUGCAGUUCAAAAAGUAGUGUCAACAUUUUUAAAAUUUGGAUCACCUAAUAGCUCGCAAAAUUGUAAAGUGCUGCCUACACUAUUGCUUAAUACUUGUGCAACUAAUUUUACAUUCGUUUUUUCGUUAUAAAAGUAGAUAUCUGUAUUUCAUAAUGGACGUAUGUAUAACCCUGGAAAAUAAUCGCAUGGACAAUAUAAUCUCGGAAUCGUAUAUAGGUGAACUAUAUUUUCACGAACUGUAGAAAUCAGAAAAGUAUCUAAGCGUAUAGUCACGGACUGUAGAAACCCGGUAGAAAAUAAACACACAAACCGUAUGUGUUGCAGACAGUAUAUUUCCGGAAUCUAAAUUUUAAGGGACACUAACGCUGUCAAGCAGUGUAAUGUAUAGUUACAAAUAUAAUAAAUGGUUUAAACUUUUUAAGGAUUUGUAAAUUAGCAACGAAAUGUAACCUGUAACAGUAAAUGUGUUUACAUUUUAAAAAGAGCAAAGCGAGGACUAUUUUUAAGUGGUUAUUACUUCACAAAUUUUGAUAUCCCUGACUUCAGUCCCCCUCCCGAAUCUCAAAUACUAUUUGUGCCUAUAUCUAGAAGAGUACUAAACGAACACUCACAUUGCCUCAGCGAAAGUACUGUUGGCAGGCACGACUGAUAUAAUACUUACAGAUUACAAUAGCAUUGACACCCGUUAAAAUAAUUUAUAUUUUUAAUUAAGUUUUUUUUUAGUUAUUACAUGUACUUAUGAUUUUAGAUUCUGAACAGAACGAUUUUAUAAUAAUGUAUGUUUUUAUUUAUGUGAUAUGGGUACACAAUUAUUUAUGAAAUAACUAUUAUAACAGUUGAUGCAGCUGUUCAUAACGCUCUGUACAGGGACAGUAAAGUUGUCUCAAUGGCAUAUACAUCGAUGACUACUGUGUAGUGUGUAUGUUGCC